rnacentral:rRNA from 1 species
UACGUAGGUGACAAGCGUUGUCCGGAUUUACUGGGCGUAAAGAGCGCGCAGGCGGUCGUUCAAGUCGAGUGUGAAAGCCCCCGGCUCAACUGGGGAGGGUCAUUCGAUACUGAUCGACUCGAAGGCAGGAGAGGGAAGUGGAAUUCCCGGUGUAGUGGUGAAAUGCGUAGAUAUCGGGAGGAACACCAGUGGCGAAGGCGGACUUCCUGGCCUGUUCUUGACGCUGAGGCGCGAAAGCUAGGGGAGCAAACGGG